rnacentral:rRNA from 1 species
UACGGGGGGAGCAAGCGUUGUUCGGAUUUACUGGGCGUAAAGGGCGCGUAGGCGGCCACCGCAAGUCGACUGUGAAAUCUCCGGGCUUAACCCGGAAAGGUCAGCCGAUACUGCGGGGCUAGAGUGCAGAAGGGGCAACUGGAAUUCUCGGGUGUAGCGGUGAAAUGCGUAGAUAUCGAGAGGAACACCUGCGGCGAAGGCGGGUUGCUGGGCUGACACUGACGCUGAUGCGCGAAAGCUAGGGGAGCGAACGGG